CCACAAUAAUUCAGCAUUGUGGACUGAGACUGGGACGUGAGCUGGUGUCCUGUACCUGCUGCAAAGCCUCACUGUGGCAGAAAGAGCUGCUAAUGACCCUGCCUGGAGUAGAAAGUUUGAGUAAUCAAGGAAUGGGAAAUGAACAACUCUUUGGCAGCUUGGAGUGGUUUUCCUGUCUGCAUUUUUGCAUUUGGCCCCUGUGUUUUGGAGAAGUGCCUACCUGCAGCAGCCUAGACAGACUUCCAGGGCUGGAAGCAUGUUUUCUAAAACAUGGAUGCAGAUGUUUCACGGCUCGGAAAAUCUAGAAGCGGCUCUCAUCCUCGCUCCCCAUCUCCUCUUCUCUCUCACACCUUGGAAGAGGGCAGGAGAUGCUCGUAUCUCUCAACCCUUUGUGCUGAGUUCUGUUUCCUUUCCCUCCUGGCCCCACAGAAAGAGGAGGUACUCCAAUAAACAUCUCUCACUGUC